rnacentral:rRNA from 1 species
AGCAGCCGCGGUAAUUCCAGCUCCAAUAGCGUAUAUUAAAGUUGUUGCAGUUAAAAAGCUCGUAGUUGAAUUUCGGGGUUCUACCGUUGGUCGGGCUAACCAGUCUGUACUAGCGUGUAGAAUUCCUACCUUCUGGGGAACCAUCAUGUUAUUAAUUUAGCGUGGUGGGAAACCAGGACCUUUACCUUGAAAAAAUUAGAGUGUUCAAAGCAGGCUUACGUCUGAAUACAUUAGCAUGGAAUAAUAAAAUAGGACGGUGGUCCUGUUUUGUUGGUUUCUGAAUCACCGUAAUGAUUAAUAGGGAUAGUUGGGGGCAUUAGUAUUCAAUUGUCAGAGGUGAAAUUCUUGGAUUUAUUGAAGACUAACUUCUGCGAAAGCAUUUGCCAAGGAUGUUUUCAUUAAUCAAGAACGAAAGUUAGGGGAUCGAAGACGAUCAGAUACCGUCGUAGUCUUAACCAUAAACUAUGCCGACUAGGGAUCGGACGAUGUUAAAUUUUAUUGACUCGUUUCGGCGCCUUAC